rnacentral:rRNA from 1 species
AUACGUAGGGUGCAAGCGUUAAUCGGAAUUACUGGGCGUAAAGCGUGCGCAGGCGGUUCGGAAAGAAGGAUGUGAAAUCCCAGGGCUCAACCUUGGAACUGCAUUCUUAACUACCGAACUAGAGUAUGUCAGAGGGGGGUAGAAUUCCGCGUGUAGCAGUGAAAUGCGUAGAUAUGCGGAGGAAUACCGAUGGCGAAGGCAGCCCCCUGGGAUAAUACUGACGCUCAUGCACGAAAGCGUGGGUAGCAAACAGGAUUAGAUACCCUGGUAGUCCACGCCCUAAACGAUGUCAACUAGCUGUUGGGCCCUUCGGGGCUUAGUAGCGUAGCUAAAGCGUGAAGUUGACCGCCUGGGGAGUACGGUCGCAAGAUUAAAACUCAAAUGAAUUGACGGGG